rnacentral:rRNA from 1 species
AGUCGAACGAUGAAGCCACUUCGGUGGUGGAUUAGUGGCGAACGGGUGAGUAACACGUGGGCAAUCUGCCCUUCACUCUGGGACAAGCCCUGGAAACGGGGUCUAAUACCGGAUAACACUCUGUCCCGCAUGGGACGGGGUUGAAAGCUCCGGCGGUGAAGGAUGAGCCCGCGGCCUAUCAGCUUGUUGGUGGGGUAAUGGCCUACCAAGGCGACGACGGGUAGCCGGCCUGAGAGGGCGACCGGCCACACUGGGACUGAGACACGGCCCAGACUCCUACGGGAGGCAGCAGUGGGGAAUAUUGCACAAUGGGCGAAAGCCUGAUGCAGCGACGCCGCGUGAGGGAUGACGGCCUUCGGGUUGUAAACCUCUUUCAGCAGGGAAGAAGCGAAAGUGA